AACGAACGCUGGCGGCAGGCUUAACACAUGCAAGUCGAACGCGUGCAGCAAUGCACGAGUGGCGCACGGGUGAGUAACGCGUGGAUAUCUGCCUUUUGGUUCGGAAUAACCCCGGGAAACUGGGGCUAAUACCGGAUGGUUCCUACGGGAUAAAGAUUUAUCGCCAAAAGAUGAGUCCGCGUCCGAUUAGCUAGUUGGUGAGGUAAUGGCUCACCAAGGCGACGAUCGGUAGCUGGUCUGAGAGGACGAUCAGCCACACUGGGACUGAGACACGGCCCAGACUCCUACGGGAGGCAGCAGUGGGGAAUAUUGGACAGUGGGGGCAACCCUGAUCCAGCCAUGCCGCGUGAGUGAUGAAGGCCUUCGGGUUGUAAAGCUCUUUUGGCGGGGACGAUGAUGACGGUACCCGCAGAAUAAGCCCCGGCUAACUUCGU
rnacentral:rRNA from 1 species